rnacentral:rRNA from 1 species
UACGAAGGGGGCUAGCGUUGCUCGGAAUCACUGGGCGUAAAGCGCACGUAAGCGGAUUGUUAAGUCAGGGGUGAAAUCCUGGAGCUCAACUCCAGAACUGCCUUUGAUACUGGCGAUCUUGAGUCCGGGAGAGGUGAGUGGAACUGCGAGUGUAGAGGUGAAAUUCGUAGAUAUUCGCAAGAACACCAGUGGCGAAGGCGGCUCACUGGCCCGGUACUGACGCUGAGGUGCGAAAGCGUGGGGAGCAAACAGGG